ensembl:lncRNA
CAAGCAAAAAAUCCAGAAGUAUAACUAUCUUCUUUUAUUGCUUUCAUACUGAAAUGAAAUUAUAUUCUUCAAGAAAAUGCUCAGGAUGUCUAAACUGAAUACUUGGGAAGUGAUAUGAGAUGUAAUGAAAACAAUUAAUUUUUUUAAUAGUUCUGAAAAUACUUACAUGCAGUUUUACCUACAGUGACACUUGCUCUGUUAGUAAACAAACACAGAGAUUGAAAUUAGUAGAUAUAAAUAAUUUUGACUUGUAAACACAAUGGAAAAUUGCAGGUUUAGUGUGCAAAUUGAGACCUAUUCUUAAAUAUAGACUCUUUUAUUUUUCAAGAGGUGAAAAAGAAAGGUGGAAGAGCAUAAGAGAAAUUAUUUCUUUGGGUUGAAUAGAAACAGCAAUAAUUCAGACUUGCUAGAAAAAAUGAACACUUCCACAUCUCCAAGUUUUUUCUACAAAAGAAAAAUCCUUAAUUUGAGCAUGGGUUAAGGUUUCCAGCCUUUGGAGUAAACACUUUAGAAAGCACUGCAAUCUUCUUUUUCUUUUUUCAAUGUCAACUGAAACAAAGUCAGGAUUAGUGCUCAGUGGAUUUUCUGAAAUAAGCGAGUCUCAUACGUAAAUAAACUGCUUGGAUCCAGCUCUACUCAAAAUGGUUAUAAAUUUGCUUCAUGCACAAUGACUGCAACACAGUUCAGGCUCAGAUUUUGAAUAGCACAUUUCCCAUGUGUUAUUUAUUCCACUUGAAGCUAUCCAGAUUGAAUAAAUAGGCAUCAAUUUAUAUUCUGCAUGGUAAUUAAUACAAAGAUUUGAAUUAUCCUAAGAACCUGGGCCUUGAAAAGUCAGAAUUAAAUUGAACAUCCUGCCUGAAAUCUAGCAGUUAUGGAAUACCAUACAUUCCUUAAUAUACCAUAUUACAAAUACAAACACAAUUAACAACAAUACAGGUAAUUAACAAUAUCAAAACCCAGUAGCAAUAUAUUGAUACCCAAUAUAUUGAUUACCAAAUUUUUUUUGAAGACAUGUUAUUACUGUCUGUAAAACAAUACAAAACAGAAGAUUUCUCAUGGAAAUGUGGUUAAGGAAUUAUUGCCUGACUAUCUCUCAAGCAAACAUAUGGAUAACAACGGCACUAAUUUAAAAAACUCUUAAGCAGGUCCUGAAGCAUAAGCAUACUGCAUAAACCCUGGUUAGGCAAAACCCUAAUUCUCCAAAUAAAACCCCCAGUAAUCAGGUGUUUCAAACUCAACAGAGGCAAUGAGAAAGAAUAAGGGUGUAGGGUUCUUGUAAGCAACCACAGUAGGAAAUUCACUUCUAUCAUUUCAAGCCCCGUAGCAAGCAUUUACAAACUUCUCACACAGUAAGCUAAGAUUCACAAAUCUGUAUCCCUUUAGUCUUAAGGGAACUUCUGAUGGCUCUGGUUCUGCAAUCAGCUGUUCUGCAAACAGCUGUUUGUUCACCUCAGUUUGUGAAGAAGGAAAAAGAUCAUUAUUAAUGUCAAUGUGAACUCUUUUUAUGUAUGGUAAAACCAACUAGUUACAAAAUAAAAAGUUGAAAAAAUAAAGAGGGAGAAAAGCCCUAAAAUAUAGUGUCUAGGUAAUGUUAUCCUUGUGGAAUCAGGCUAUAUGGUGGGAAUAGGCCUAUAAAUAUUAAUAAAGAUAAGUAAAACAAUAGAUAAUAUUAAAUAAAUGUAGUAUAAUGUCAACAAAUUGGAAAGAGUAGCCUGGAAAUAGCACACAAACUGUUUUAAAAAUCAAGGAGAAGUGAUCUAAAGCUUGGAGGCAAUGAAGCUGAAGAGAGGUUAAUCUGAUCAUGCAGCAAUCCUUACGACCUCUUUAUGUUGAUAGGAUCAUUCCUCUUAAGCGGAAUUAAAACUUAUGGAGGAAUAAAUAUGCUAAACUGUGCUGAGAUGAAAAUUAUUAUCAAAUUAUAUAUUGCUGAAAAUAGCUGUGAUGUGAAGGCUGCCCAUGAGACAGCACUUGCCAUCACUGCAUCACUGCCUGCUUCUGAAGGUGACGUGCUGAUUUUUAAUAACCUGCUUCUGCAGGGAUCUGUUGAUUUGCCCAGUGUUGCUUUUACUUCAGCAGUCUUCUUUCUCCUCCAGCAGUUAGCAGACCACCAUGAGGCACUUAUGUUUUACAUUUGCUUCAACUGAAAAUAAUGCUAAUGAAAUAUCAACCAGCUUCCAUUCAUCGCAGGUUUAAUUUUGGCAGACUGAAAUUAGUAACUGCUAUUAUAUUUUUUUUGUAUUACAGUUCAAACACAGACCUAGAUGUUGCAAGAAAAUAUUAAACAAAUAUGUCUAUCAUUUAACAUUUUGAAAGAAAUCCAACAAAUCCAGAAUUUCUGAUACAGACUGAGAACACAAUAUUUUGUGUAGUGUAUAUAAACACUGAAAUAAGGUUAAAAAGCUCAAUCAGCUUUCAUACUUUGAAACAUCUGGAAGUCAAAAGACAUUUUUACAGGGAUGGCAAAUGAACUGAAUAAAAGGGAAAACAUAUUUCAUGAAAAUGCUUGAGAAAUUACAUUUCUUUAAUUGCAAAGCAUUACUUGUAACAACAUUCACUUCAAGCUUUUACCUCAUUGCAAUUGUGUCUUCCUUUAGACACAAGUAAUCAAAUUGCCUCAGUAUAAUUUAAUUCUUUUGGAUGUAAUAAGCUUAAUGCUUUAUAUAGCAGUGCUAAACCUAACAGUGUACCGAGACCUGUAAAUGCGAAGAGCAAUUCGUCAUUGUAUAAACCAUCGUGCGCAAUCACCCCAGCUUAGACAAAGCCAUAAACUACUGCAGGAAAGAUUGCAGAGGUGGCAGCACCUGGCACAACACAAAACAGUUCAUGCAAGAGAAUUUUCCAGGCACUGGAAAUGUGUUUACAAAACCAGGAUGCUCUUUUUUCCAUUUUAUAGUACUCCACAUUAUAGCAGACUAUGCACUGCACUCUACAUACUAAAUGCUCAGAUGCAGUUUCAGAAAUAUUUUAAUUAAAAUGAGUUAUCAAUUACUUGAAAAUAAUUGCCUUCAAAUAUUUCUUUACCCUCUUUCCAGCUGUGAAAAUUUCUGAGUAAUAAUGUUUUCUGGGAGCAAGAUGGGGGAAGGAAGACACCUCAUAUCAUAGACUCUUUCUGUCAUAAUGCUGAAGGCUAUGUCUGUAGUUGAUAUGUGGCAUAAAAAAGAUAAAGCAUCAAUAGGUCUGAUUAUCUUUUUUUUUUAAACCUGGGGUGACUUCCGAUUAUAUAGACAAAUCUCCUAUGGAAAACCAGCCAACCUACUAUUUAAAAUAUAGAAAAAUAUUUUAUAUAAAAUGUAGUUUAAAAGUUGUGUUUAACCAUAAGAAUUAAUAUUUGAAUUGAUAUAAUAUGAUUAAAUUAGCUAUUUCUUUUGGAGUACAGCUAUUGUUAUUAAGAUACAUUCGUAAUAUCUUUUAUAUCCAAAUUUAUUUUCCUAAAAUGUUUUUCUAAAUUUCUUUAAAUUGAAAGUCUCCUCUCCUCGACUUCAAUAAAACAUCUAUUCUGGCAGACCUAUUUAAAAUAUCAAUUAAAAUAAACCUUGAUUCUUAUGCUAAGUGUAGACAUAGUAUUUGGAUUAUUAGAAACAAAAGUACAAUAUGUAUUCCAGUUCAGCCUCUGUGGUAUAUGCUGCUGACUUUUUUUAAGUUAAAAAAUGUCUUCAAAACCAAAAUAAAACAAACAAAAAAUCCUCAAACAAAGAAAAAAAAAGCUUGCUUUCUUUGUCCUACACAGGGAAAAUACCAGAGUUCUGAACACAUCUCAGUAUUUCAGGACUUGGUGCCAUGAUGUAUUAAUAUAAUUUUGUGUGUGUGUGUGUGAAUUAUUUUGCAGAAAUAUGAAAUUCAUUUGUAUGUUUCUUAUGGUUAUGCAACUUACUGAACUGACAUUUGAAAAAUACAUGUGGCUUGUACUGACUUCGGUUUUGGGGAAAACUUCUGGAUUCCCACAACUCCUAAAGGAAGGAACCUAUGGAAACCUUUUGAUUUGCCUAGGUGGUGUGACCAACUUUAGCCGCUUCUCAUCUCCAAACAAGAGACCAGUUGUCUUCCCUCUGUUGCUUUUGCAGCAAUUGGACACUAAAUUUAAUACAAAGGGGAAAUAUUAAUCUUCGAGGUUCUUCCAGGGAGAGAAGCAGAGAAAUGGAUCCCUCUUUGCAGUAUACACUUGGGGAGGUACUGAAUGAAAGCACGAACCAAAAUAUAGUCCUAAGAUCACUGUAAGGGUGCAAGGAUAAUGUCACACAUAAGGGUGCCAGCGCUCUUGACGAUUAAGGUAAAAGAAGCAAAGGCUUGCACCAUAAUGAAAGUUGCCUCUUCUUCUUCAGAGGCACUGUCCUACUUUAGUAGUCAUGAUACUACCUCUGUACGUCAUGUACAUAUACUUUCAUGUCAAACAAAUGCUUCUGGCUAUUCUAAGGCUUCAGUUUUCUUAGUUGUUUUACUCAGCAAAGAGUGAAUUUUUUUUUUUUUAAUAGGACUAUAAAUAGUCAUUCCUCUAUUCAACUUGACACAUAUGUUCAUUCUAUCAUUUUUGCCAAAAAAAAGGGAAACCAAACAAAGAUUUGGGGGAAAAAAUGGAAAGAGGAAGAAUAGUGAGGUAAAGUGUUUCCUGCACUUUGUCAGACUUCUUUAUUCUCAGAAUUUCUUCAUCUUUUUCACACAGAAUCUACACAGAAAUACACUGAGUGCUGACAAGUCCACUCAGUUCACAUUUAGUUCCCUUUUCCCUUUAAUAUAAUAAAAAUGGUAACAAGAAUAACAAAGAUGUUGCAGUCUACUAGCUUCACAAGAAAUUGAAGCAAUAUUUAAUCUAUAAAUAAUAAAAAUUUGACAGUGCACUUCUAAAUUGUAGCUGUAGUUUUUUUCUUAACUUUGAAAGGAUCUGUCCCAUUGCCUCACAAUUGGUUCCUAAAGGCCAGUUUUAAAUUUUUUUUUUUUUUUUUUUUUUUUUGGUGCAGCAAGAUUAAAAAAUCUAUUUAGAAAGAUGGGUAAAGAUGGAAAAUUAAGAUCCAAACCUGAGAUUCAAACAAUCUCUGGAUUUACACACAUUCAAAUCCAGACAGGAAAACAUCUGUAUGUCUACUGGCUCUGACCUAAAAACUCACAUCAAAAAACCUGGUAGGCGUUUUGGCUAAGGCCUGUCUGUACUUAAUAAUCUUUAUUAUACAUGUGAGAAUCUAAAUAAUUAACCUUUUUUCUUUGCAGGAGAUCUUUCUAACUUGUGAAUGAAAACGGUACCUCCAUUCAGGAAUACUGAUCAUAUACACACUGACCUCUGAGGAAAAAGAAGAAUCAUUGCAAAAAAACCAACUACACAUGGACUUACACUCCUAGGUGGGGAUGCAUUUCAAUACAUUUUCAGGACUUUCUCAGAUGAAAUGUCUCAGUGGAUAUGACAACUCGAUGAACACGUCAUUUAUCUUGUCUUUUAUGUCUGCUAACAUGUAAGAGAGAAAACAUAAUUUCUUUAGCCACCACCCAAGAAUAUUCUGUAUUUUCCUAAGAAACAAUACAAAUAAAUAGCAGGUAAAUU